rnacentral:lncRNA from 1 species
UGGGGAGGGAGGGAGUGUGGCUGGAUGAUUAGAAAAGUCACUUCUCUGCAGGGAAAUUGAGCUGAAUCUCAGAUGAGGACCAGGAGGCCCUCAGACAGCUGCGGGAGCAGAUUUGAAGACUGACUUCACAGGAAUGAGAAAGUAAAUGACCUAUUCAGAGAAGGGCAAACUUGCUGUGGGCAAAUAUCAUGGCUCUGACGGUACAGGUUGGGAGGUGAAGCUAAGCAGUGUUUGGGGUCUAGACUGAAAAAUCAUGAUGGCCAGACCACUUCUUAAACCCCUCCUGGGACCAAGACUGCCUCGCAUCUCCUGUCAUUGGCUAAGCAAAGGUCUAGACAGACAAAACCUGAUCACCAUGCUGUGUCUUAAUUGAAUAAGUAAUGAGAGCUGGGCACUGCAAUCAGCCUCCUUCUCCUUUGGCUGCUGCUGAAUACUCAUUAGCCAGUUGUGAACCCCAGAGAACAGAGGUCAUGUUGAGUGACAGCAACCCAGCAGCCUUCUUAGGCAUUUGCUGUAAUUUACAUGAAGAUACGGAUAUAAUUACCUUGAUCAGAUUCACUUCUCCUGGCAAAUGUGUACAUGGAGUCAAGUAAUUUCCUCCCAUUAAAUCAGAGCAUUUGGGGACUAUACUAGUUCUCAGCCAAGAGCUAGAUCCUGGAAGAAAGGCAAAAGGAGAAAGAGAAGAGUGCUCCCAGUGGGACCUUUGGGUGGCGGUGGUGAAAGAGGACCGUUUGGAGCCCAAACACCUAACAAUUCCUCCAAGUCUCUUGAAUUUACAGCAGGCUAAAGCAUGUGGCAUUCUCUGGCCAGCACAAAACCUCAGCCUUUUGCCAAAUGUUGUAUUCCUCGUGUGGUCUGGAUGACAUAAAGAAUGUCUACAAGGUGUUUUUCAAUCUGGGAGCAGGUACUUCGGAGAGGCUUCUGGUUUCGUGCAGACAGGAGCAGGAGAAUGCCCGUGUUCACGCUGAACCUCCACUUGGAGUUAGCCCGAGUGUGAAGCAGGACCCAUACAUUGUCACAGCUCUCACCACUCCUGCUUGGGAUUUAACUCAACUCAACUAUAUGACUCCCAGAAGAAAGCAGGCACACAGGGUGGGUCAUGUUACCUGUGAAAGUUCCAUGGAUGGUAGGCACGGUAAUCACAAGGGACUGGAGGCCAG